GGAGGCGUCGCAUAGCGGUCUAGUGCACCAUCUUGGAAAGGUGGCAGGCCUGAAAGGGCCUCGAGAGUUCAAAUCUCUCCGCCUCCG
rfam:Parcubacteria (Nomurabacteria) bacterium GW2011_GWB1_43_7 TW02_C0004, whole genome shotgun sequence.